GACAGAGGUCCCGAGCGUUAGGCGGAAUCACUGGGCUUAAAGCGUGUGUAGGCGGAUGCCUAAGUACCUUGUGAAAUCCCACGGCUUAACCGUGGAACUGCUUGGUGUACUGGGUGUCUUGAGCCACUUAGGGGCUACCGGAACAAAUGGUGGAGCGGUGAAAUGCGUAGAUAUCAUUUGGAACGCCAAUGGUGAAAACAGGUAGCUGGGAGUGUGCUGACGCUGAGACACGAAAGCCAGGGGAGCAAACGGG
rnacentral:rRNA from 1 species